rnacentral:rRNA from 1 species
AUCUUCCACAAUGGACGAAAGUCUGAUGGAGCAACGCCGCGUGCAGGAUGACGGUCUUCGGAUUGUAAACUGCUUUUAUACGGGAAGAUUAUGACGGUACCGUAUGAAUAAGCCCCGGCUAACUACGUGCCGGCAGCCGCGGUAAUACGUAGGGUGCUAGCGUUAUCCGGAAUCACUGGGCGUAAAGCGUGCGUAGGCGGCUUGUUAAGUGAGAUGUUAAAACGUGGGGCUCAACCCUGUCGGUGCAUCUCAUACUGGCAGGCUAGAGGAAGGCAGAGGCAAGUGGAAUUGGUAGUGUAGCAGUGAAAUGCGUAGAUAUUACCAGGAACACCAAUGGCGAAGGCAGCUUGCUGGGCCUUUUCUGACGCUGAGGUACGAAAGCGUGGGGAGCGAAC